AGAGUUUGAUCCUGGCUCAGGAUGAACGCUGGCGGCGUGCCUAAUACAUGCAAGUCGAACGCACAGCGAAAGGUGCUUGCACCUUUCAAGUGAGUGGCGAACGGGUGAGUAACACGUGGAUAACCUACCUCAAGGUUGGGGAUAACAUUUGGAAACAGAUGCUAAUACCGAAUAAAACUUCGUAUCGCAUGAUACAAGGUUAAAAGGCGCUACGGCGUCACCUAGAGAUGGAUCCGCGGUGCAUUAGUUAGUUGGUGGGGUAAAGGCCUACCAAGACAAUGAUGCAUAGCCGAGUUGAGAGACUGAUCGGCCACAUUGGGACUGAGACACGGCCCAAACUCCUACGGGAGGCUGCAGUAGGGAAUCUUCCACAAUGGGCGAAAGCCUGAUGGAGCAACGCCGCGUGUGUGAUGAAGGCUUUCGGGUCGUAAAGCACUGUUGUAUGGGAAGAACAGCUAGAGUAGGGAAUGACUUUAGUUUGACGGUACCAUACCAGAAAGGGACGGCUAAAUACGUGCCAGCAGCCGCGGUAAUACGUAUGUCCCGAGCGUUAUCCGGAUUUAUUGGGCGUAAAGCGAGCGCAGACGGUUGAUUAAGUCUGAUGUGAAAGCCCGGAGCUCAACUCCGGAAAGGCAUUGGAAACUGGUCAACUUGAGUGCAGUAGAGGUAAGUGGAACUCCAUGUGUAGCGGUGGAAUGCGUAGAUAUAUGGAAGAACACCAGCGGCGAAGGCGGCUUACUGGACUGUAACUGACGUUGAGGCUCGAAAGUGUGGGUAGCAAACAGGAUUAGAUACCCUGGUAGUCCACACCGUAAACGAUGA
rnacentral:rRNA from 1 species